CGGUGGAGCAUGUGGUUUAAUUUCGAAGCAACGCGAAGAACCUUACCAGGCCUUGACAUGCAGAGAACUUUCCAGAGAUGGAUUGGUGCCUUCGGGAACUCUGACACAGGUGCUGCGUGGCUGUCGUCAGCUCGUGUCGUGAGAUGUUGGGUUAAGUCCGUAACGAGCGCAACCCUUGUCCUUAGUUACCAGCACGUUAUGGUGGGCACUCUAAGGAGACUGCCGGUGACAAACCGGAGGAAGGUGGGGAUGACGUCAAGUCAUCAUGGCCCUUACGGCCUGGGCUACACACGUGCUACAAUGGUCGGUACAAAGGGUUGCCAAGCCGCGAGGUGGAGCUAAUCCCAUAAAACCGAUCGUAGUCCGGAUCGCAGUCUGCAACUCGACUGCGUGAAGUCGGAAUCGCUAGUAAUCGUGAAUCAGAAUGUCACGGUGAAUACGUUCCCGGGCCUU
rnacentral:rRNA from 1 species